rnacentral:rRNA from 1 species
GGAGGGGGGUUAGCGUUGUUCGGAAUUACUGGGCGUAAAGCGCACGUAGGCGGACUGGGAAAGUUGGGGGGGUUGAAAUCCCAGGGGCUCAACCCUGGGAACUGCCUCCAAAACUAUCAGUCUAGAGUUCGAGAGAGGUGAGUGGAAUUCCGAGUGUAGAGGUGAAAUUCGUAGAUAUUCGGAGGAACACCAGUGGCGAAGGCGGCUCACUGGCUCGAUACUGACGCUGAGGUGCGAAAGUGUGGGGAGCAAACAGGAUUAGAUACCCUGGUAGUCCACACCGUAAACGAUGAAUGCCAGUCGUCGGGUAGCAUGCUAUUCGGUGACACACCUAACGGAUUAAGCAUUCCGCCUGGGGAGUACGGUCGCAAGAUUA